rnacentral:rRNA from 1 species
CAGCGACUUAUAUUCUGUAGCAAGGUUAACCGAAUAGGGGAGCCGGAGGGAAACCGAGUCUUAAUUGGGCGUUAAGUUGCAGGGUAUAGACCCGAAACCCGGUGAUCUAGCCAUGGGCAGGUUGAAGGUUGGGUAACACUAACUGGAGGACCGAACCGACUAAUGUUGAAAAAUUAGCGGAUGACCUGUGGCUGGGGGUGAAAGGCCAAUCAAACCGGGAGAUAGCUGGUUCUCCCCGAAAGCUAUUUAGGUAGCGCCUCGUGAAUUCAUCUCCGGGGGUAGAGCACUGUUUCGGCUAGGGGGCCAUCCCGGCUUACCAACCCGAUGCAAACUGCGAAUACCGGAGAAUGUUAUCACGGGAGACACACGGCGGGUGCUAACGUCCGUCGUGAAGAGGGAAACAACCCAGACCGCCAGCUAAGGUCCCAAAGUCAUGGUUAAGUGGGAAACGAUGUGGGAAGGCCCAGACAGCCAGGAUGUUGGCUUAGAAGCAGCCAUCAUUUAAAGAAAGCGUAAUAGCUCACUGGUCGAGUCGGCCUGCGCGGAAGAUGUAACGGGGCUAAACCAUGCACCGAAGCUGCGGCAGCGA